rnacentral:lncRNA from 1 species
UUUUUUUUUUUUUUUUUUUGGUACUAGGGAUUAAACUCAGGGGGACUAUGAGCCACAUCUCCAGCCCUAUUUUGUAUUUAUUUAGAGACAGGAUCUCAAUGAGUUGUUUAGUGCCUCACUUUUGCUGAGGCUGGCUAUGCACUUGCAAUCCUCCUGCCCUAGCCACUCGAGCUGCUGGGAUUACAGGUGUGCACCACCAAGCCUGUAGUUCUAUGACCAGUUUAAAGACAAAACAUAAUUUCAAAUAAUAUCUAAUUAUGUCUAACAAUAAAUAAUUUGUACCUGUCAUGGCUUUAAAUCUUUUCCCCUCUCAGCUCUGCCCCACUUAAAAGUCAAGGAGCCUGCUUUGGGGAAUGGAGGAGUGCUCUUUCUCCCCAUACUUCGUCUCCACCUAAUUGCUGCUAUUUAUUGUGUGCCCAAGUCGAGAGAGAGAGAGAGAGAGAGAGAGAGAGAGAGAGAGAGAAAGUAAGGGGGUAAAACAGUCUGGCUUGACUGGGAGGUUAUGUGUCCUAUGUGCCUGACAGAUAUUUCAUAGGUAAAUUCCUGCUGUCACCUAGAGACCUUGGUGGAUACAUAUAUAUUCUGGGUGGAACCCUACAACUCCCUCCCCAGCCCACAUGGCACACUCCUCACUUAUCUGUGCCAAGUCUCCUAGCUUCUUAAAAAUGGUCCUAUUGGACAAGACCAAAGACCCAACCCCACAGUUCCCUCUUUCCUGCAAGGAAAGAGGUUAAUUUUCCUUUGUCCAUCUAUUAAAUGCACUUCAGAAUUCAAUUCUGAGCCACUUUCUCUUUUUUUUUUCCUAUCAUUAAUACUUUAUCUAUUCCAUCAACUUUACCACCUCUAGGUUACAUCCCCAAAUCCCUAGCACAAUUUCACCCAUGUCUCAUACUUUUCUUUCCUUUCUUUUUCUGAGACAGGUCUCACUAUGUUGCUUAGGCUAGUUUCAAACUCUUGGACUCAAAUGAGCAAACACAACCCAGUUCUAGCUAUUGCUUAAGCCUUGCAGUAGUUAGGACUAUAGGCAUGCACCAUUACCCCUAGCUUGUCUCACUUUCAAAUGACAUCUGAUGAGCACCUGAACACUUUAACAGGUAUCAUCAGCCCACCCAGUUGCUCAAGCCAGAAACCUGGAACUUACUGCAGAUUCCAUUCUCUCAACCACCCUUGACAUCCCACCAAUUCUAUCUAAUGAAGUUCUCCUACUUCUUUCAUCACUAGUCCACAACACUUUGAUCUUAUGCUACAAACCUAGACUUUUACAAUACUGCUACUCUCAUCAAUCUCAACUCGAAUAGAUCUUGUCAUUUCUUAGCCUUCCCUAGGUAAAUGAGUACAUUGGCUAUUAUUCCUCAGGUGAUAAGCUGUGGAAACACAAAACUAAAUAUGGCUCAGAAGACUGAAGCCUAAUCAACAGAGUAACUACAACACAGUAUUUAAAUGCUACCUCUUUGU